UAUUAAAGCCAUGAGUGUGUGAGAGAGAGAGUGAGCGAGAGAGAGAUCGAUGUAUCAAUAUAUAUAACCGACGUUUGAUUUCCAAGCCACUGCCAUCCAUUUUCCAGGCUAUCGCCAUUCGUGGGUGUUGUUUCUGAUUUUUCUUCUCUUGAAUCUAAUGGGAGAUAUGCAAACAGUACAACGUUACUCUGUACGAGGAUGCAGCCAAGAAACGGCUUCAAGAGUUUGUUUCAGCUCUACGCGGUUGUGAAUUAAUGGCCCAAGCUUAUUCUUUACUAGGUGCCAUUUUGGAAAAUGUUGAAUCUAGGCAGCUUCGUCAUUUGCUAAGUUCUGAAUAUUGUGGGUUCACAUUCACGAAGAAUUACUCUAUCAAAAUGAAACAAAAUGGAAAAUUUGGAAAAGGUUAAUCUUUCUUCUUUCUCUCAUUUCUUUUAGAUUUCUUAUUGAUUUUGGUUUUGACCCACUUUCAUUAUACGUUAUUACAUUAAAUAGGUGUGUGCUGACAUUGCUUAAAUAAAGUCUUCAUCAUUUUCAAAUCUCAUUUUUCAAGUCUAAUAAUCUAUUUUUCUAGGUUUCCCAGCUUAAAUUUGGUUUCUCAACUUAAAUUUUGUUUCAUGUACUGCUUGUAUUAUGAUUUGGUAGAUAAAGUCCUUAUUUUUCACUGUUAUGGAACCACUUACUUCAUCCCUAUGGAAGCAUAUGUGUGCUUUAUGUGUGUUUUUUUUUUUAUCUGAAGCUAAAAUGACUGCUACACAGGGGAUACCUCCCACAAACUAUGAGCCUAGGACAAUUGGCAUCUAUAUAUAUAUAUAAAAGAAAGUAAUUGAGCAUGAUUGAAAAUUGCAUUGAUAAUCUUAUGUAUAAAAUAAAAAUCACAUCAGAAAAGUUAAUGAAAAAAACAAGAAAUAGUGGGGGUUUCUAGUUUGGAAUGAGAAAUGAGGCAUUGUUUUAAAAUGUGUGCUUUGACUUGUUUGAGACUUUGAAGUGGUGGAAGAUGAUAGUAACACUUCUUUCCAUAUAUCCUUCUAUGUUUUUGGCUAACAACCUUCCUAGUUUAGCUUUUAAUAAAUAGGUACCUGUACUAUUCAUAAGGAGAAGCUUUCUGUUUUCCCUUGACAAGUUCAUGUAAUUUUUGGUAACUAUAUUUUUGGUAAUUGAUCUCUUUUUAGGUAGUUCUUUAAUAAAAAGGGCAUUCUGAAACCUCAGGUAUCUACACUUAUGUUAAUAUGAUUCUUGCCUGUUUUACAAAUUAUAGGAUUUGUGCUAUGAAGAAGGUUCUCAUUCAGACUAGC